UACGUAGGGGGCAAGCGUUGUCCGGAAUCAUUGGGCGUAAAGAGCGCGUAGGCGGCCCUGUAAGUCCGCUGUGAAAGUCAAGGGCUCAACCCUUGAAUGCCGGUGGAUACUGCAGGGCUAGAGUCCGGAAGAGGCGAGUGGAAUUCCUGGUGUAGCGGUGAAAUGCGCAGAUAUCAGGAGGAACACCGAUGGCGAAGGCAGACUCGCUGGGAC
rnacentral:rRNA from 1 species